AUUGAACGCUGGCGGCAUGCCUUACACAUGCAAGUCGAACGGCAGCGGGCCUUCGGGUGCCGGCGAGUGGCGAACGGGUGAGUAAUGCAUCGGAACGUGCCAUUGAGUGGGGGAUAACGUAGCGAAAGUUACGCUAAUACCGCAUAUUCUGUGAGCAGGAAAGCAGGGGGACCGCAAGGCCUUGCGCUCUUUGAGCGGCCGAUGUCAGAUUAGCUAGUUGGUGAGGUAAAGGCUUACCAAGGCGACGAUCUGUAGCGGGUCUGAGAGGAUGAUCCGCCACACUGGAACUGAGACACGGUCCAGACUCCUACGGGAGGCAGCAGUGGGGAAUUUUGGACAAUGGGCGCAAGCCUGAUCCAGCCAUGCCGCGUGAGUGAAGAAGGCCU
rnacentral:rRNA from 1 species